AACUAUUUAAGUGGCUGAUCAGUGAACUAUUUCCAUUGAUCAGCCACAACAUUAACAACACAUUUUUAAUGGAACAAUCCUGACACGAUAACAUCUUAAUUUAAAUGAAGUUGUUAUGUUGCCAGGAGGCCCCAUUACCUCAAGGGGUUAAACCAUUCUCGAAUGGCUUAACCCCAAAGUUGCUUCCAGCGCCGAUUUCAACUCUCCCACAGGGGGCAUCGAGUUUCUGAAAUUUUUCGUGUUUGUCCGAAAACGAAUGCCAAAUUUAAUAAUUAUCUGUAUGAGAGAC